ACGCUAGCUACAGGCUUAACACAUGCAAGUCGAGGGGAAACGGCAUUAGUGCUUGCACCGAAUGGACGUCGACCGGCGCACGGGUGAGUAACGCGUAUCCAACCUACCCAUUACUGUGGGAUAACCUGCCGAAAGGCAGACUAAUACCGCAUAGUCUUCGAUGACGGCAUCAGAUUUGAAGUAAAGAUUUAUCGGUAAUGGAUGGGGAUGCGUCUGAUUAGCUUGUUGGCGGGGUAACGGCCCACCAAGGCGACGAUCAGUAGGGGUUCUGAGAGGAAGGUCCCCCACAUUGGAACUGAGACACAGUCCAAACUCCUACGGGAGGCAGCAGUGAGGAAUAUUGGUCAAUGGACGAGAGUCUGAACCAGCCAAGUAGCGUGCAGGAUGACGGCCCUAUGGGUUGUAAACUGCUUUUGUAUGGGGAUAAAGUCAAUCACGUGUGAUUGUUUGCAGGUACCAUACGAAUAAGGACCGGCUAAUUCCGUGCCAGCAGCCGCGGUAAUACGGAAGGUCCGGGCGUUAUCCGGAUUUAUUGGGUUUAAAGGGAGCGUAGGCCGGAGAUUAAGUGUGUUGUGAAAUGUAGACGCUCAACGUCUGACUUGCAGCGCAUACUGGUUUCCUUGAGUACGCACAACGUUGGCGGAAUUCGUCGUGUAGCGGUGAAAUGCUUAGAUAUGACGAAGAACUCCGAUUGCGAAGGCAGCUGACGGGAGCGCAACUGACGCUUAAGCUCGAAGGUGCGGGUAUCGAACAGGAUUAGAUACCCUGGUAGUCCGCACAGUAAACGAUGGAUGCCCGCUGUUGGUACCUGGUAUCAGCGGCUAAGCGAAAGCAUUAAGCAUCCCACCUGGGGAGUACGCCGGCAACGGUGAAACUCAAAGGAAUUGACGGGGGCCCGCACA
rnacentral:rRNA from 1 species